UCUGCCUGCGUUAUCUCAAUCUUGGAACUUGCACCACGGCCCCACAGGGCGAAAGUUUUCUGCUGACCGAAUUGCAGCCCUUGAUUUCACCAAGACGGCAAGUAAGCAGCCAUCAAAGCCAAAAGCAGACUGGCCUGGUUAAAAUCCCCCAAAACGAUGGUGAAGGCUUAUGGUGCGCUGUUUGCUGCAUGUUGAUCCCAUUGCUCAUAUCAUCUAAAGCCUGACUGACAUUGGCCUGAGGUGGAAUGUCUACCGCUACCAAAGUGAUCCUGGAAAUCUCCUAUGAUGCUGAUGGUGGAUGACACAAUGUGUGCAAAACAUCAGGCACACAUGAGCAAUGAAUCCUCUGUAUUUUCCUACUAUCAAAACAGCAUCAGUUGCACAAGCAACUAUAUUUUCCAAUGGACUAUAGUUUUCCAAGACUUCUCUUGACUUCUUCAAUAAUAGUUUCACCUUUACUCUCUGUUUUAAGCUUUCGGGCGACUGGCCUGAUCAUCAUUCAAAAACCUAGUAUAUGUCAUUAGAAGGGUGUCAGUAUCACAUAAUGUGCUUUCCUCAACUUGCAGGGCAAAUUUCUUAACUUGCAGUUGUGCAUCUAGCUGUUUUUCUGCAUCAUCUGACAUUUCAUCAAUUUGCCUUGAUGCUGAUGAGUUGCUCCAGGGGAUGGCUUGCAUCAUUUCAUAUGCACUCUGAUUCCUAACAGUAGAAAUUCCAUCAGAAACUGUCAGCAGAAUCAAUGAUUCACCUACUGUCUAUGAUGUGGCUUUUGCAAUUGUAAAGGGGGUUUCUUCUUUUUUCUUUGUUACUGUUGGGAAAGGGUUUCUUUGUUUUGUUAAAAGCAGGAAUGUUUCUGUUGCGAGAGAGUGCUGGAAGCUUGUUUGUUAAAAUUUACUGAUAACGAGAAUGGUAUUCCUUUGUAAACCAAAUGGGGAUUAAUGUUCUUUCUUCUGAGUCUGUAAGCUUUUGUUGAUGGGCUUUUGGGGAGAUCGGCGUGAGGGGGUUGAGAGAGAGGACGCAAUGCCGUAAACUGGGCGAGGAACGGACCCCAAGCAGGGGUCCAAGGCCAGGAGGUACUCUGAGGAGGGGGGAUGAAGCUAGAAGUGCUUGGUUGACCACUUCGGAGGGUCCUGAGCUGCGAGUCGAGGAGUUCGGAGGGGAUCGAAUGGUGGCCAGAAGACUUCAGUAAUUGAGCUCCAACGGUUGUGCACGAAGUGGUUUGGACUUUGAUAAGUUUGGCGCCUUUUCUUUAUUUUUUCUCUUCAUAUAUACUGUAUCGUUAUUAAUCACUUAGUUAUAGUAACCUUUAUAAAUUGUACUCAUUUAAUCGCUUAUGGUGUACUGUCUGUUUUUGGGCGAGGCAGGGACAUCACACAGCAUCCACACCAGCUGAUUACCCAGUUUGGCGGGGCCGAAGGCUGCUCCCCCUAGACGAGAACGAGCUGAGCGAGCCUGAGGCGACCCAGGGGGUUACACAAUUAAGCUUGAAAUCUCAUAAGAUACAAGUAAUUCUUUUUCCAUCUUAGCUACUUUUUCACUAAAAACUUGCUUUACUGUCAGACUUGAUUGAAAAUUAUCAUGUAAAUUUUGAACUAAUCUAGUGUUUUGUCUUUCUCAUCCUUACAUGCCAUCGCCAAGUGCUUUCUCAGUUUAAAUGCUUUUAUUUGAAAGUAUAGUCAUACAAAUUAUCCUUUUGUCCUGUAAGGGACAUGGGUAAUAUAUGUGUGUGUGUUUGUACAUAAACAAACAACAAACCAUUAAAC